UGCACCCUGCGCGGUGCGUGAUAAGCCUUUUUUAUCCUCACAUUUUGUUAUAGGGGAUGUCGGAUCAGUGUGUGGAUCGCAGGCCUCCCGGCUGCCGUAUGCGGCUGGAAGUUGGAAGCGGAGAAGCAUGCUGGAGACAACCCACCUGCUGAACCCGGUGCAGGUUAUAACUUGGCUUACACGGCCGGGCGGGGCAUAA
rnacentral:other from 1 species